rnacentral:rRNA from 1 species
UACGUAGGGUGCAAGCGUUGUCCGGAAUUAUUGGGCGUAAAGAGCUUGUAGGCGGUUUGUCGCGUCUGCUGUGAAAUUUCGGGGCUCAACCCCGAACUUGCAGUGGGUACGGGCAGACUAGAGUGUUGCAGGGGAGACUGGAAUUCCUGGUGUAGCGGUGAAAUGCGCAGAUAUCAGGAGGAACACCGGUGGCGAAGGCGGGUCUCUGGGCAACAACUGACGCUGAGGAGCGAAAGCGUGGGGAGCGAACAGG